rnacentral:tRNA from 8 species
GUCUCAGUAGCUCAGCUGGAUAGAGCAUUCGCCUCCUAAGCGAAAGGUCGUAAGUUCAAAUCUUAUCUGGGACGCCA